GUAUUGGAUAUGGAAUCCUUAUCUUUUGCACUUUUAUCAACUAAUUUCUUCAACCUUCAUUGACUCGGAUCAAUAUGAAUUUGUAUUAUGUUUUUUUCAUUUUUCAGGUACUGUAAAAAGUAGACAUUUAUUUGGAUCUUAUAACAAAACAAGGAAUGCUUAUUAUGACUGGGAAAAAGUUGCUUUCAAUUCUCUUUAACAGCAUCUCCUUCUUGUCAAUCUCAAUGAUAUUUAGAUGGAUUUUAUGAGGGAUGACCUUGGAUGAGGAUAUGUGAUGCUCAGUUAAGAUUGUGAGCCAAAACAUGUUAACAUUGAUAUCAAUCUCUCCUUAUAAACAAAGGAGAAAAAAUCAGGGUGUAAUUAUAGAUCGAAGUUAUAUUCAAUGGCUAAUUUUUGCCCUAUAAUUUUUAUGAACUCAUUUGCAAGAUCAAAUCCUUUCCUCUACGAUAGUUAGGGGUAAAUUACACAGACAAUACCUCAGCUUAGGUAGGGGUAUGUAACAGUGUGGUACAUAAACUUCAAUUUGUAACAUAAAACACCAUGAUCUUUAAGUAACAUAAAGUAACACAAAACCCCCUAUGGCCUUCAGUAACUAGUUUCUAGGUUAUUUUUGCUGAUGUGACACUUGUUUGAUUAAAAAAAAAUAUAUAUUUUCUCUUUAUUAAUUUGACACUUAUCAUGAAAAAAUUUUAAUUAUUCUCUCUCUACUCACAAUUCCGACAAUCCAAUUAGCACAAAUCAACCUUUCAAUAACCCAUAUUCUGUUUAACUGAAGUUACC
rnacentral:misc_RNA from 1 species